rnacentral:rRNA from 1 species
GGUUUCCGUAGGUGAACCUGCGGAAGGAUCAUUACCGAUGUAAUCCAAAAGCACGACUCCGUCGUGACUACCGUGUGAACCGUACCAAACUAUUCAGGGGUCGGCCAGUCCGUUAAAUGGCGGUCGGACGCGUGCGUUGCGCGCGGCCGCUCCGCCAGCCCCGCCUGUGUUUUUUUAACAUACGUGUCUUGUCUGAAAACGUGACCACUGCCGUGGUCCAGAGCAAAGAAAAAGAGAGACAACUUUUGACGGUGGAUCUCUUGGCUCACGCAUCGAUGAAGAACGCAGCCAGCUGCGAUAAGUAGUGUGAAUUGCAGAAUUCAGUGAAUCAUCGAAUCUUUGAACGCAAAUGGCGCUCUUGGGUUCUCCCAGGAGCAUGUCUGUCUGAGUGUCGGAUAUCAUCCAACGCACCUAGUCGUGCGGCGUUGAGGCGUCACGGCCCUUCUCGCGGCCGUGUCCCUUGAAAGUCAGAGAGACUCGCCGCGGCACGGGUUCGUUCCCUGCACACUCGCGGAGGCUAAAAACGCUUUUGCCCUUCGCGUGCACGGGAGCGGCCCGCCCGCCGAGUCGCGGAGGCGAACACUUUUCAACUCUUGACCUCAGAUCAGA